rnacentral:rRNA from 1 species
GACGAACGCUGGCGGCGUGCUUAACACAUGCAAGUCGAGCGGUAAGGCCCUUUCGGGGGUACACGAGCGGCGAACGGGUGAGUAACACGUGGGUGACCUGCCCUCAGCUCUGGGAUAAGCCUGGGAAACCGGGUCUAAUACUGGAUAUGACUCCAUGACGCAUGUUGUGGGGUGAAAGCCUUGUGCGGCUGAGGAUGGGCCCGCGGCCUAUCAGCUUGUUGGUGGGUGAUGGCCUACCAAGGCGACGACGGUAGCCGGCCUGAGAGGGCGACCGGCCACACUGGGACUGAGACACGGCCCAGACUCCUACGGGAGGCAGCAGUGGGGAAUCUUGCGCAAUGGGCGAAAGCCUGACGCAGCGACGCCGCGUGAGGGAUGACGGCCU